rnacentral:rRNA from 1 species
UAGAUAAGCCGUCCUGCGCCGAAAAUGUACCGGGGCUCAAGCCGUGCACCGAAGCUGCGGACUCGUCUCUGACGAGUGGUAGCGGAGCGUUGCCUAGGCCUGCGAAGCGGCACCCGUGAGGGGCCGUGGAGGCAUGGCAAGUGCGAAUGCUGACAUGAGUAGCGAUAAAGAGUGUGAGAAACACUCUCGCCGAAAGUCCAAGGGUUCCUGCGCAAGGCUAAUCCGCGCAGGGUGAGCCGGCCCCUAAGCCGAGGGCGAAAGCCGUAGGCGAUGGGAACCAGGUUAAUAGUCCUGGGCCAGCGGGUGGUGACGGAUGCCGUAAGUUGUUCGGGCUGACUGGAUUGUCCGGGCAGCGAAGGCGUCCCAGGAAAUAGCC